GGGCUUUACACUUUUGGCGAGAUUUGUGGUGGGUGGAAUGAUCAUAGUCAAUGGGGAAAUUGUAAAAUCAAGAAGCCCAUUCACUUUGGGCUAUUGGAAAGAAAAGUUUAAUAUAACAGUAAACUUCAUGACAAUGUUCGUUACCUCGUUCUUUUCUGUAUUUCUUCCACCUUCGAAAGAUAAGAAUAGCCCAUUUGGAGGAGAGUCUAAAUGGAACGGUGGAGGGAGCAAACCAUCCAAUGUUGCUUCUAUAAAGCAUGAACGAUUUAACUUCCCCGCUGCUUCUUGUCGCACCUGUCGCGCAUGCCCUUCCUAGGAAUCCCGCUUAUUACUAAAACUGGAUUUACAAUAGAUAUUUAAUAUUAAAUAUUAAAAAUUUUGUCAAA